AUGGCGGAGCCUCCGGGCGGCCUUGCAUCGGACGAGGUCGGCGGGAGAAGCCGUCGCCGUGGAGGGCGCCGCGGCGCACGAUGGCGUCCUCGCCUCCGGGCGGCUGCGCAUCGGACGAGAUCGGCGGAAGAAGCCGUCGCCGUGGAGGGCGCCGCGCCGCAGGAUGCCGUCGCCUCCUCCGGGCGGCCGCGCAUCAGACGAGGUCGGCGGGAGAAGCCGGCGCCGUGGCGGCCGCCGCGACUCGCUCAAGCCGCCCUCUUCCGGAUCUCCCACGUUCGUCGUCGUCCCGUGCUCGCCGCCGAAGGGUCCGGCCUCCCCAGCCUCGCUUGCCCGCCGGCGUCCCCAACCUCCAGCACGGGUGGACGUUGA
rnacentral:rRNA from 1 species